UGAAGCUGGAUUCGCUAGUAAUCGCGCAUCAGCCAUGGCGCGGUGAAUACGUUCCCGGGCCUUGUACACACCGCCCGUCAAGCCAUGGAAGCCGGGGGCGCUUGAAGUGCGUUGCCGCAAGGCGCGCCCUAGAGCGAAACCGGUGACUGGGGCUAAGUCGUAACAAGGUAAC
rnacentral:rRNA from 1 species